UACGUAGGCAGCAAGCGUUGUUCGGAGUUACUGGGCGUAAAGGGUGCGUAGGCGGCUUUUUAAGUUUGGUGUGAAAUCUCCCGGCUCAACUGGGAGGGUGCGCCGAAUACUGAGAGGCUAGAGUGCGGGAGAGGAAAGUGGAAUUCCUGGUGUAGCGGUGAAAUGCGUAGAUAUCAGGAGGAACACCGGUGGUGUAAACGGCUUUCUGGACGUAACUGACGCUGAGGCACGAAAGCGUGGGUAGCAAACAGG
rnacentral:rRNA from 1 species